rnacentral:rRNA from 1 species
GACGUAGGGGGCGAGCGUUGUCCGGAUUCAUUGGGCGUAAAGGGCUCGUAGGCGGUCUGUUGCGUCGGUAGUGAAAACUCAGGGCUUAACCCUGAGCCUGCUUCCGAUACGGGCAGACUAGAGGUAUGCAGGGGAGAACGGAAUUCCUGGUGUAGCGGUGAAAUGCGUAGAGAUCCGGAGGAACACCAGUGGCGAAGGCAGGUCUCUGGGCUGACACUGACGCUCAUGCACGAAAGCGUGGGGAGCAAACAGG